GACAGAGGUCCCAAGCGUUAGGCGGAAUCACUGGGCUUAAAGCGUGUGUAGGCGGACUUGUAAGUACCUUGUGAAAUCCCACGGCUCAACCGUGGAACUGCUGGGUAUACUGCGAGUCUUGAGCCACCUAGGGGCGAGCGGAACAAGUGGUGGAGCGGUGAAAUGCGUAGAUAUCACUUGGAACGCCAAUGGUGAAAACAGCUCGCUGGGGGUGUGCUGACGCUGAGACACGAAAGCCAGGGGAGCAAACGGG
rnacentral:rRNA from 2 species